rfam:Triticum aestivum genome assembly, contig: Triticum_aestivum_CS42_TGACv1_scaffold_162232_2DL
GUAGUACUCCCUCCGUCCGGAAAUACUUGUCCUAAAAAUGAAUAAAAGGGGAUGUAUUUAGACGUAUAUUAGUUCUAGAUACAUCUCUUUUUAUCCAUUUUGAUGACAAGUAUUUGCGGACGGAGGGAGUAGUAG